rnacentral:rRNA from 1 species
UACGAAGGGGGCUAGCGUUGCUCGGAAUCACUGGGCGUAAAGGGUGCGUAGGCGGGGCUUUAAGUCAGGGGUGAAAUCCUGGAGCUCAACUCCAGAACUGCCUUUGAUACUGAGGAUCUUGAGUUCGGGAGAGGUGAGUGGAACUGCGAGUGUAGAGGUGAAAUUCGUAGAUAUUCGCAAGAACACCAGUGGCGAAGGCGGCUUACUGGUCCGGUUCUGACGCUGAGGCGCGAAAGCGUGGGGAGCGAACAGG